CAGAGGGGGAUAACGUUUGGAAACGAACGCUAAUACCGCAUGAUAUUAUUGAGCUGUAUGGCUUGAUAAUCAAAGGAGCAAUCCGCUGAAAGAUGGGCUCGCGUCCGAUUAGGUAGUUGGCGGGGCAACGGCCCACCAAGCCGACGAUCGGUAGCCGGACUGAGAGGUUGAACGGCCACAUUGGGACUGAGACACGGCCCAGACUCCUACGGGAGGCAGCAGUGAGGGAUAUUGGUCAAUGGGGGAAACCCUGAACCAGCAACGCCGCGUGAGGGAAGACGGUUUUCGGAUUGUAAACCUCUGUCCUCUGUGAAGAUGAUGACGGUAGCAGAGGAGGAAGCUCCGGCUAACUACGUGCCAGCAGCCGCGGUAAUACGUAGGGAGCAAGCGUUGUCCGGAUUUACUGGGUGUAAAGGGUGCGUAGGCGGCUUUGCAAGUCAGAAGUGAAAUCCAUGGGCUUAACCCAUGAACUGCUUUUGAAACUGCAGAGCUUGAGUGGAGUAGAGGUAGGCGGAAUUCCCGGUGUAGCGGUGAAAUGCGUAGAGAUCGGGAGGAACACCAGUGGCGAAGGCGGCCUGCUGGGCUCUAACUGACGCUGAGGCACGAAAGCGUGGGUAGCAAACAGGAUUAGAUACCCUGGUAGUCCACGCUGUAAACGAUGAUUACUAGGUGUGGGUGGACUGACCCCAUCCGUGCCGGAGU
rnacentral:rRNA from 1 species